UGGGGAAUAUUGCACAAUGGAGGGGACUCUGAUGCAGCGACGCCGCGUGAGUGAUGAAGGAAUUCGUAUCGUAAAACUCUGUUCUAUGGGAAGAAAAGGACUGUACCAUAGGAGAAAGCUCCGGCUAAAUACGUGCCAGCAGCCGCGGUAAUACGUAUGGAGCGAGCGUUGUCCGGAAUUAUUGGGCGUAAAGGGUGCGCAGGCGGCUUUACAAGUUGGAUGUGAAAUAUUGUGGCUCAACCACAAACGUGCAUCCAAAACUGCAAAGCUUGAGUUAAGGAGAGGUAAGUGGAAUUCCUGGUGUAGCGGUGGAAUGCGUAGAUAUCAGGAGGAAUACCGGUGGCGAAGGCGACUUACUGGACUUAAACUGACGCUCAGGCACGAAAGCGUGGGGAGCAAACAGG
rnacentral:rRNA from 1 species